GAUGAACGCUAGCGGCAGGCCUAACACAUGCAAGUCGAGGGGUAACUAGAGUGAUAGCAAUAUUACUUUGGCUAGACCGGCGCACGGGUGCGUAACACGUAUGCAACCUACCUUAUACUGGGGAAUAACUUCGAGAAAUCGGCGCUAAUACCCCAUAACACUGCGGAGAGGCAUCUCUUUGCAGUUAAAGCUCCGGCGGUAUAAGAUGGGCAUGCGUCCAAUUAGCUAGUUGGUGAGGAACGGCUCACCAAGGCUACGAUUGGUAGGGGUUCUGAGAGGAUGAUCCCCCACACUGGUACUGAGACACGGACCAGACUCCUACGGGAGGCAGCAGUGAGGAAUAUUGCGCAAUGGACGAAAGUCUGACGCAGCCAUGCCGCGUGCAGGAUGACGGCCCUAUGGGUUGUAAACUGCUUUUGUAGGGGAAUAAACCCUUCUACGUGUAGGAGGCUGAAGGUACCGUAAGAAUAAGCACCGGCUAACUCCGUGCCAGCCGCCGCAGUAA
rnacentral:rRNA from 1 species